rnacentral:rRNA from 1 species
GACGGAAGGUGCAAGCGUUGCUCGGAAUCACUGGGCGUAAAGGGUGCGUAGGCGGCCGUGCAAGUCUGGCGUGAAAGCCCCGGGCUCAGCCCGGGAAGUGCGCUCGAAACUGCGCGGCUCGAGUGCCGGAGGGGAGAGUGGAAUUCCUGGUGUAGCGGUGAAAUGCGUAGAUAUCAGGAGGAAUACCGGUGGCGAAAGCGACUCUCUGGACGGCAACUGACGCUGAGGGACGAAAGCUAGGGGAGCGAAUGGG